GAUGAACGCUGGCGGCGUGCCUAAUACAUGCAAGUCGAGCGAACAGACGAGGAGCUUGCUCCUCUGACGUUAGCGGCGGACGGGUGAGUAACACGUGGAUAACCUACCUAUAAGACUGGGAUAACUUCGGGAAACCGGAGCUAAUACCGGAUAAUAUAUUGAACCGCAUGGUUCAAUAGUGAAAGACGGUUUUGCUGUUACUUAUAGAUGGAUCCGCGCCGCAUUAGCUAGUUGGUAAGGUAACGGCUUACCAAGGCAACGAUGCGUAGCCGACCUGAGAGGGUGAUCGGCCACACUGGAACUGAGACACGGUCCAGACUCCUACGGGAGGCAGCAGUAGGGAAUCUUCCGCAAUGGGCGAAAGCCUGACGGAGCAACGCCGCGUGAGUGAUGAAGGUCUUCGGAUCGUAAAACUCUGUUAUUAGGGAAGAACAAAUGUGUAAGUAACUAUGCACGUCUUGACGGUACCUAAUCAGAAGGCCACGGCUAACUACGUG
rnacentral:rRNA from 1 species